rnacentral:rRNA from 1 species
AUUGAACGCUGGCGGCAUGCCUUACACAUGCAAGUCGAACGGUAACGCGGGGCAACCUGGCGACGAGUGGCGAACGGGUGAGUAAUGCAUCGGAACGUGCCCAGUAGUGGGGGAUAGCCCGGCGAAAGCCGGAUUAAUACCGCAUACGACCUACGGGUGAAAGCGGGGGAUCGCAAGACCUCGCGCUAUUGGAGCGGCCGAUGUCAGAUUAGGUUGUUGGUGGGGUAAAGGCCUACCAAGCCUGCGAUCUGUAGCUGGUCUGAGAGGACGACCAGCCACACUGGGACUGAGACACGGCCCAGACUCCUACGGGAGGCAGCAGUGGGGAAUUUUGGACAAUGGGCGCAAGCCUGAUCCAGCCAUGCCGCGUGCGGG